GUAGGUGGCAAGCGUUGUCCGGAAUUAUUGGGCGUAAAGCGCGCGCAGGCGGUUCGUUUAAGUCUGAUGUGAAAGCCCACGGGCUCAACCGUGGAGGGUCAUUGGAAACUGGAGAACUUGAGUACAGAAGAGGAAAGCGGAAUUCCGCGUGUAGCGGUGAAAUGCGUAGAGAUGUGGAGGAACACCAGUGGCGAAGGCGGCUUUCUGGUCUGUAACUGACGCUGAGGCGCGAAAGCGUGGGGAGCAAACAGGAUUAGAUACCCUGGUAGUCCACGCCGUAAACGAUGAGUGCUAAGUGUUAGGGGAUUUCCGCCCCUUAGUGCUGCAGCUAACGCAUUAAGCACUCCGCCUGGGGAGUACGGCCGCAAGGCUG
rnacentral:rRNA from 1 species